rnacentral:rRNA from 1 species
UACGGAGGGGGUUAGCGGUGUUCGGAAUCACUGGGCGUAAAGCGCACGUAGGCGGAAUGUUAAGUCAGAGGUGAAACCCCGGGGCUCAACCCCGGAACUGCCUUUGAUACUGGCAUUCUUGAGGGCGGGAGAGGUGAGUGGAAUUCCGAGUGUAGAGGUGAAAUUCGUAGAUAUUCGGAGGAACACCAGUGGCGAAGGCGGCUCUCUGGACGGUUACUGACGCUGAGGCGCGAAAGCGUGGGGAGCAAACAGG